ensembl:snRNA U6 U6 spliceosomal RNA
GUGCUGGCUUUCAGAGCACAAUUCCUAAAAUUGAAACGCACAGAGAAGAUAGCAUGCCCCUGCGCAAGGAUCACAUGCAAAUUCGUGAAGCAUUCCAUAUUUUU